UGCCAGCCGCCGCGGUAAUACGGAGGGGGUUAGCGUUGUUCGGAAUUACUGGGCGUAAAGCGCACGUAGGCGGAUCAGAAAGUUAGGGGUGAAAUCCCAGGGCUCAACCUGGGAACUGCAUGGGAUACUGGCAAUCUAGAAUACAGUAGAGGGUAGUGGAAUUUCAGGUGUAGCGGUGAAAUGCGUAGAGAUCUGAAGGAACAUCAGUGGCGAAGGCGACUACCUGGACUGAUAUUGACGCUGAGGUGCGAAAGCGUGGGGAGCAAACGGGAUUAGAUA
rnacentral:rRNA from 1 species